GAUGAACGCUAGCGGCAGGCCUAACACAUGCAAGUCGAGGGAGAAGCCCUUUCGGGGGCAGAAACCGGCGCACGGGUGCGUAACGCGUAUGCAACCUACCUUUCACAGGGGGAUAGCCCGAAGAAAUUUGGAUUAAUACCCCAUAAUAUUAUUGGAUGGCAUCAUUUGAUAAUUAAAACUGCGGUGGUGAAAGAUGGGCAUGCGUCCUAUUAGCUAGUUGGAGUGGUAACGGCACCCCAAGGCUACGAUAGGUAGGGGUCCUGAGAGGGAGAUCCCCCACACUGGUACUGAGACAGGGACCAGACUCCUACGGGAGGCAGCAGUGAGGAAUAGUGGUCAAUGGUCGGAAGACUGAACCAGCCAUGCCGCGUGCAGGAAGAAUGCCUUAUGGGUUGUAAACUGCUUUUAUAUGGGAAGAAUAAGGCGUACGUGUACGUUGAUGACGGUACCAUAUGAAUAAGCAGCGGCUAACUCCGUG
rnacentral:rRNA from 1 species